AUGCAAGUGUCCCUUCAAGGAUCGCAUAGUGCAACUACAGCUAGCAGGAACAGAACAAUUCGGGAUAGGAGAAAACCCUUCAGAGAUUCUGUGAUCCUAAACAGUGGUGUUUUACCUUUAAUUAUAGCUGGACAAAUGGUGUCAAACGUAGGCAUGGAAAGUCAUGACCAGGAACCUUUGAGAAUCUAUAGAAAGAUUCUAUUUUGUUUAUUUUUUGUUGAGAAAAGGUUGUCUUUGGGAACCUGACAAUUGUUACAGAAUGCUUAAAGUUAUUUCUUCCUACCAGCAUCUGUUUUUCAAAAGUGAAAAAUGCUGGGAUUAUGCUACAGAUUAUGUUCCAGAAUGUCAAUUAAGUAGAAAGAGUCCAAAUAAAUUAAGAAUUGUCAGACUCCA
rnacentral:lncRNA from 1 species